ensembl:lncRNA
GUGGGAAUUGCCCCUGGUGGGAUAAAUAAAGCUCAAUUGAAUUCAAAUUGUAUUUGAGAUAAGAGAGAAGAAUAACAAAUAAUGAAAGAGCAGCAGUAAAUAACAAUAGUGGGGCUUUAUACAGGGAGUACCAGUACAGAGUCAAUGUGGAGGCUAUAUACAGGGUAUUACGGUACAGAGUCAAUGUGGAGGCUAUAUACAGGGGGUACCGGUACAGAGUCAAUGUGGAGGCUAUAUACAGGGGGUACUGGUACAGAGUCAAUGUGGAGGCUAUAUACAGGGGUACUGGUACAGAGUCAAUGUGGAGGCUAUAUACAGGGGUACCGGUACAGAGUCAAUGUGGAGGCUAUAUACAGGGGUACUGGUACAGAGUCAAUGUGGAGGCUAUAUACAGGGGUACUGGUACAGAGUCAAUGUGGAGGCUAUAUACAGGGGGUACCGGUACAGAGUCAAUGUGGAGGCUAUAUACAGGGGGUACCGGUACAGAGUCAAUGUGGAGGCUAUAUACAGGGGGUACCGGUACAGAGUCAAUGUGGAGGCUAUAUACAGUGG